UUCCCCUAUAAAUAGGGAGGAGAUUGAGAAGAGAGGGGGAAGAAAGGAUUUUGGAGAAAAAAUGAAAGAUUCUGGGGGUGCAUACUCCUAAUCUUACGGAACCAAAAUUCUCAAAGAACCCUCGAAAGAUCGAAAUUCGAUGUUCUCGUUCAAAUUUUAUCGCUUAGAAUCAAUUCGAGGUGGUGGAAGCUUCAUCGUCAGCUUGGCUUCCUGGUUCGCUGCCAUAGAAAAGGUCAGUAACAUCUCCUACUCGUAUAUUCUAUUUCGUCAAAUUUUGUUAUUUGUGUUGUUUCUUGGACUGCUUGUUUGGCCGAGGAUCUAUGUGUCUAGUUUGUGAUUUCGCUGCGCUUUGUUUUUGUUCCGAUGCGCUGGUUGAGAUCAUUGUGGAAUAGUUCUUUAGGGCCAGCGUUGUUUCGGGUCAUUUUGAUUAACUUUAUUUGAGUAAAAUAGAAAAUGUUCUGCUUCUUUCACUUGCUGGUUGGUUAGAUGGUUAAUUUCGAUAAGGGUGGAAGGAUGUUCUUGUAAACAUUAUAAGGUAAAACGAUGAACAUCUUCCAUUCAUAAAGUGCCCAAAGAUCUCCCAGUUCCCUUUCGGACGUUUUGAUUCAUUCUUAACUUUAUCUGUUCCUAUUAAUAGCUUAAAUUCCCAUUUCUUUUUUUUUCUGAUUUGAACUUGAAUUUCCCUACCAUUUCCUUUAUUUUUUCUUUGUUCCUCGGCUUUAUGGUUGGUACGAACACGGGAUGGAGGAUGCUCAUCUAAGCAUCGUGGAGUGAGGAGCAAACUCUGUGUGGCGUUCGUUUCUUCCGUCUCCCCUUCCCAAAACUCGAAGUUGUCUUGGUUUGCAUUCUCGAAUUAUUUUAACAUUCCCAACUUGCAGAAGCAUUUGAAUAAAGAUCAAGCUUAGUAGUUAGUCUUUAAUUUCUAUGCUGUCAUUUGUUUUCCAGUAGUACUAUGUUAUACUUUCCCCAUUUCAUUAAAGUGCUUUAGUUAGCCCAAGAGUAUUUUUUUAAGACUCUGUACUCAUUUGUGAAGUUGAAGGUUUUUAUACAAACUGUCUUCUUGUCUGACAUAAUAAUAUUUUUUAACACUGUUUAUUGUUAUUAUAAUGUCACGUUGUGUGUUGUGUGUGUCCAUAAUCUUCUUUUGUGUCUAACUAUUAUCAAUGUAGAAUUGUUUAGACUGUAAUGAUUGUUCUAUGUUAUUAUGUGAUGAAUAUUUAUUAUGUUAAUGUUUAGUGCUAAAUGUGUCAGUUGUUCUAUGUUUCAAAUUGUUUAUGUAUGUGUUUAGUUAUAUGUUUUGUGUUACAAUAUGUUAGUUAAUUUUAUUAUUAUGAUCUUAUAAUAUCUGUUUCAUGUGUUGCGUUUUUUUAUGUAGUUUUUUUUUAUUUGUUAUGUGGAAAUUUGCUUUAUUUUGUUGGCCCCGGGAAUUCGUUAUAAGAUGCUAAUUCAUUCUUUUUUUGUUUCUUUUAUGCAUGAAUUCUCCCUCCUCGAGUCCGUCGGACUCCCACAUCUUGCAUUCGAUUGAGUUAAACCCAUCUACCAUAGAGUCAAGACCCAUGCCAAGUCUGAAAAGGGGACUAAUGUGCAAGAAAAAGGGCUGGUAUACAACAGUAUACUCUGAUAUACACUCGUAGGCAACAGCUGCACGUUGUACCGUGGUUCAUGAUGAAAAAUGGAGUCGAAAUAGGCAGCUUACCACACUGAUAUACACCAUAUAUGCGGGGAUAUACAGAAAAACGCAGUAAAGGAGUUGCUGAUAUACAGCAGAUAUACAGAGGCAAAGGAUGGGCUAAAGUCCAUGAAUUUGGUCCAAAAUUGGACAGAUUUUUAAUGGGCCACAAAGGGACCCAAUUCUCACUCUUCUCUUAGUCAUCCACACUAACUUAUUUAUUUGUAUUUGUUUGAACACUUUAAUCAAUUAAUCUAAAUAAAUCUCAAGAUAUCGUCAUUUUUCUUUUAUCUUCAUUUUCCCUUCAUUACUUGAAUUUUUUUUAUUAUUAUAAUUAUUAUUACUACUAUUGCUAUUCCUAUUGCUAUUACUAUUACUAUUAUUAUCUCAAAGGACACACUUUAUUAAGAUCUAUUCGAAUAUAUAUUAUGGUAUGCUGAUUAAAUUCCUGAUUAUUGAUGUAGCAUGGAUUCACCCUAGCAAACAGCUAGAGGAUGUGGCAGAGGUGGACGAAGUUAAAACUCUUUAUAUUACGGAGGACGAAUAAACCCUACAUAUAGCUCUGCAAAUUCUAAUUUUUUGAUAUUACAACACGGAAAUAGAACUUUGGUCAAUUCAAAAAUUCUCCGGGAAGGAUCAUCAUAAAAAACUCAGAAUAUUGGUUCCUCAAUUCAUUUGGAAGAUAUUUCAGAAGAUCAUCCUUU
rnacentral:lncRNA from 1 species